UUGGCAUGAAAGGAGUAAUCUCGCUUCUGAGAUGGACCCGCGGCGCAUCUAUCUCUAGUCUGGUGGGGUAAUGGCCUACCAAGACAGCGAUGCGUAGCCGACCUGAGAGGGUGAUCGGCCACUUGGAACUGAGAUACGGUCCAGACUCCUACGGGAGGCAGCAGUGGGGAAUAUUGCACAAUGGGCGAAAGCCUGAUGCAGCAACGCCGCGUGAGUGAUGAAGGUCUUCGGAUUGUAAAGCUCUGUCUUUUGGGACGAUAAUGACGGUACCAAAGGAGGAAGCCACGGCUAACUACGUGCCAGCAGCCGCGGUAAUACAUAGGUGGCGAGCGUUGUCCGGAUUUACUGGGCGUAAAGGGUGCGUAGGCGGAUGUUUAAGUGAGAUGUGAAAUACCCGGGCUUAACUUGGGUGCUGCAUUUCAAACUGGAUAUCUAGAGUGCAGGAGAGGAGAAUGGAAUCCUAGUGUAGCGGUGAACUGCCUAAAGAUUAA
rnacentral:rRNA from 1 species